rnacentral:rRNA from 2 species
CAGCCCUACGGGGGACAGCGCAGGGGGGUCUUCUCCACUCCGGCCAAGCCCCCGGCAGCAAAAAGGCGUGAGGGAGGAAGAGUCUUUUGUGUUGAAAAAGAAUAACCACGGAAGAGAACAAUGACGGUACCUGAGGAAUCAGCAUCGGCUAACUCCGUGCCAGCAGCCGCGGUAAUACGGAGGAUGCAAGCGUUAUCCGGAAUCAUUGGGCGUAAAGCGUCCGCAGGUGGCUUUUCAAGUCUGCUGUCAAAGCCCGGGGCUCAACCCUGGAGAGGCAGUGGAAACUGAGGAGCUAGAGUGCGGUAGGGGCAGAGGGAAUUCCCGGUGUAGCGGUGAAAUGCGUAGAUAUCGGGAAGAACACCAGUGGCGAAAGCGCUCUGCUGGACCGCAACUGACACUCAUGGACGAAAGCUAGGGGAGGGAAUGGGAUUAGAUACCCCCGUAGUCCUACCCGUAAACGAUGGACACUAGGUGUUGCGCGUAUCGACCCGUUCAGUGCCGUAGCCAACGCGUUAAGUUGCCGCCUGGAGAGCCCAACAGC